AAAAACUAUGAAAAGGAAAUAGAAAAUGUUUUCCAUAACUAAACAAGGCCAUAAUCUCCUUCAUUUUCCUUUCACAGCCGCCGCCCUCUUCUCUUAUUCUCUUGCUUGUGUUUUCUGCUUCUCACGCCCAAACCAUUGGCCACCGUUGUUGGCUGCUAAAAACCUCUGAUCUUCCAAGGGCUCUAUGGUGACGACUACUGAAGAUUUGAUUCUCCCUUCUCUCUUUUUAAAACUAUUUUGCUUUCCUUUUUUCUUUAAUUUUCAUUUUUUAUUUCCUUUUCCUUCUCACUUCUACUAUUAAAGCCACUGCUCAGGGUUAAAGCAUUCUCCUCAACCUUCCAAGG
rnacentral:misc_RNA from 1 species